CGGGGCGCAGCAGGCGCGAAACCUUUACAAUGCGGGCAACCGUGAUAAGGGAACCUCGAGUGCCUGUAAACGCAGGCUGUUCAGGUGUUUAAAACGCACCUGGGGAAAGGGCCGGGCAAGACCGGUGCCAGCCGCCGCGGUAAUACCGGCGGCUCGAGUGGUGGCCGCUUUUAUUGGGCUUAAAGCGUUCGUAGCUGGGUUGUUAAGUCUCUUGGGAAAUCUGGCGGCUUAACCGUCAGGCGCCUAAGGGAUACUGGCAAUCUUGGAACCGGGAGAGGUGAGGGGUACUUCGGGGGUAGGGGUGAAAUCCUGUAAUCCUCGAGGGACCACCUGUGGCGAAGGCGCCUCACCAGAACGGCUUCGACAGUGAGGGACGAAAGCUGGGGGAGCAAACCGGAUUAGAUACCCGGGUAGUCCCAGCCGUAAACGAUGCGCGUUAGGUGUAUCGGUGACCACGAGUUACCGAGGUGCCGAAGGGAAACCGUGAAACGCGCCGCCUGGGAAGUACGGUCGCAAGGCUGAAACUUAAAGGAAUUGGCGGGGGAGCACA
rnacentral:rRNA from 1 species